rnacentral:tRNA from 1 species
GGAGGAGUGGCCGAGUGGCUUAAGGCGGCGGUCUUGAAAACCGUUGAGUGUCACAGCUCCGUGGGUUCAAAUCCUACCUCCUCCGCCA